CCUGCCCACAGAGGCAUCGGAGGUGUGGCUGCUGUGUCACAUAUGCAUCAGGAGGUGGCAGAGAGGAGAGAGGAUGUCUACACUGAGUGUUCUGACCUGUGACCAUCUGAACAAUCAGUAGCCUAACACU